UACGUAGGUGACUAGCGUUGUCCGGAUUUACUGGGCGUAAAGAGCGCGCAGGCGGUCGUUCAAGUCGAGUGUGAAAGCCCCCGGCUCAACUGGGGAGGGUCAUUCGAUACUGAUCGACUCGAAGGCAGGAGAGGGAAGCGGAAUUCCCGGUGUAGUGGUGAAAUGCGUAGAUAUCGGGAGGAACACCUGUGGCGAAAGCGGCUCACUGGACCACUACUGACGCUGAGGCGCGAAAGCUAGGGGAGCAAACAGG
rnacentral:rRNA from 1 species